UCAAGUCAAAAACUGAAAAGCAAAUGAAAAAAAAUUGAAAUUUUUGAAAAAGAUAUUUAAUUAAAACACCUUUCAAAAAGGGCAACUUGAGCAGAUGUGCUGCUGUAAUAAGUGACUUGAGUUAGUUAGAACAGGUUUGAGGAAUCCCAGAAGGAUGUGAAUAAGGCUCCUCAUUUUACACCAGCACUCUCCAAACAAAUUUGUUUUUUCUGUUUUUAUUAAGGUCUUCUGUGUUCUCUUAUAGACAUUUGCUCAGCAGAAAGCAGUACUCAGCCUCUGCCUUCAACAGCCCAGGCAGAACUGUGUGCCAUUGUUGAUAUUCUGCUCCUGGGAAAGCAGUCAGAAAUAGGAGAUGUCCUGCAGGAACAUGGAAGACAUCAUCUGUCUUGGAGCUUGGUGAAAAUCAGCCUUACAAGUGAAGGCAGUGGAGCAAGUGGAGACACACCUGCUUGUACUGUGGUUAAAGAUGCUCUAAUAUCUUUUAAGGAUGUUCCUCACUGAUGCGGCUCUUCACUGACCUGAUUAUGCCAGCUCAUGAAUCACUGUGGUGUAUUUAUGUUUCUAAACCAUAUUAUGCUUUGCCUAAAAUCUUUGUGUAGUUGGCAAUUGGUAUUACUCAUCAUAUACAACAUGAAAGAGGGGAACACUUCCUCCUUUGGAAAAGCAGCAUAUCCUUAGGUAAGUACACUGUUUCAUUCAAUUAUUCUGCAGUUUUCAGAAUACAUUGAGUCUCUCUAUUUACUUGCAAGAGAUAAAAAAGACAGACAAAAUGAAGUGGGAGAACAAGUAUGUAAAGAAACACUAACAAAUUAAAAAACAGUCUGUAAAUUGAAUUAUCUAUUUACAGGAAUAUAAAUGACCUGCUGACUCAUCAAUAUUGAUUUGCAUUCAUUGUGCUAACGCUUAAAAGGCAGCCUAUGAUGCCUCAUUAUCUGUAAGGAAUUGGCAGGAGAAUCAUAGGAUCACUAAGGUUGGAGAAGACCUCUAAUAUCAUCCAAUACAACCGUCUACCUACCACCGAUAUUUCCCACUAAACCAUGUCCCUCAGUACAAUGUCUAAAGGCUUCUUGAACACCUGCCGGGACGGUGACUCCACCACCUCACGGUGACACCAGCCCAUUCCAGUGCCUGACCACUCUUUUGAAGUAUUUCCUAACAUCCAAUCUGGUGCAACUUGAGGCCAUUUCCUCUAGUCCUAUCUAAUCCUGUUGGAGAAGACAUUCUUUUGAAACAAACUGUCGUUACACUUUGAAGCUGUUGCUAGGGCAGGUAAGUUAUUUCACAGUUGAUUCAAACCAUGUACUUGUGUGAAGACUUCACCCACCUAAAUGCUAACUGGCUGUUCUGGCUGUGUGUUCAGAGGUGACUGAGCAAGAAACCAGUUUCCUCCCUGUGUGUGUUACUGACUACAAAGCUGUAGUGCCUUUUGUAUGUUAUGAUGGAUCUUAACGUGGGCACAGCUGAAUCUGCGUUAAUAAAGAUGCAAAUGUUAUUUACACAACUACCAGUCAGUGUGAAGCUUCCAGUAAUAAAAUGGGAGAUAGAGAAGGGAUAGCAGAAAAAGAAAAUAAGCCAGUCUUAGGAGAAUAACCUUCGCUCGGAGCGGGUAUGUUACCUGUAAGGUUGGUGGGCACAGCUGACCCAGGAAGGUUUUUUUCCAUUUUCCAAACAUGGAUUUCUUCAACAAGAAAAAGAGCUGUGAUGGCUCACAUGAGAAGACUGAGGCACAGAGGAAUUGUUCAUGUCAGGGUCAGUUAGGGUGAAAUUUCAGCUCUUGAUAAAUGAAGAGGAUUGAGAUGAAGAACUGAGCUCAGGGUCACAGGUGAUCCCAAAUUCUCUGCCAGGAGAGGCAGGUGUAGGAUUUAUGCCUAAGAAGAAAGGAAUUUAAGUGAUGAAAAGGAGGAAAGCAGAAGGAUAGUGGGGCGAGUAGGACCAUGAGGUUGGCUUAGGUUAGAAGGGAGGUGAAGGAAAAAAGAAAAGACAGCAAAAGGAGAGCAGAGGUAAACUUAUCCUCUGGGAGCCAGGAGGGUGCAGGGGCUCAGGGAGGCAGCAGAGCUUGGUGGUGUCAACCAACACCUACAUUUGCUACUCAGUCUGUAGGACUGGGCUCUGGAGCCAGCUGGAAGGCAGCUGAAAUCAUGGGAACAAAUGUUGGGAGCUGAUGUAACAAGGACAAGAGAAUGGUUUAUAAAAGGCAGACAAUUUUGCUUUCCUGCACACAUCGUUCUGAUCAUAUUAUGUUUUCUUGUCUUGUUGGCAAAAAUCUGCCAGCGGGAGACAACAAAUGGCUUUUAACAUAUUACUUUCUGUAAGGAAAGCAUUAUUUUUUUUAAGGAUGUCUCCAUUAAAUCUGCAUGUUCUUGGAAACUAAAGAAAAACAAUGUGAGUAGGAGUGUGGGGGUGGGGGAACUGAACAGCUGAAGAUCUCUUUGUUGGGUCCUGCAAUGGAGAAUAUAUAUUUUAAUGUGAAACAGUGAUGACAGGGAGGAUUUAGAGGGCUUCAAAAGAAAAGCAUCCAGGCAGUCACUCCUGCAGCACUUCAAAACCAUGCAUUGAGACAAAGACAUUUGUACAGCAGAGCUUGAAAUUCAAAUUGAGCAGAGAGCAAUCCAAGCUAACUUUGAGCAUUCUGCAUCUCACUUGAUGCCCUUAAGGGCUACAGAUGUUUCUCCACCAUUUUCUUGCAUCAUGUGCCAUUGUCACUGUUGCUUUUCAGGUGUUCCUUUGCUCUUUUUUUCAGGUUUCUUGAGUAGCUACAUAGAUUUUUAGAGUAUCAUGUGCUUUUUAAGGUUUUGUUUUGUUGAAUUUUCCUCUCCCUCCAGUCUAGAAGGCAGACUUGUGGCAAUCUUUUAGCGAUAUGACCUUACAUUAUUUUAAAAGCUUUGCUCUUCUUAUCUUCACAGUCUUAGGGCUCACAAAGGGCUAUAUGCAAGGAUUAACAUUAGGUUUCUCCAUUCAGAAUAAAGUCACACUGGAUGUACAUUAACACUCUUAAAUCCAGAUGCUUUUCUCAGUGUCUCCUCUCUUCUACUCCUGAUGUAUUCCUGCUUCCUGUCAUUUUAAAGCAAAUUCAAGGAAUUUCAAGGAAGAGAAUACAAGGAAGAGAUUUGGGGAUCUUUGUGCUCAAUUAAAAUGUUAUUUCAUGUUACUUAUUCUAUCCAGACAGUGCGGGUUCACAAAUGGCUCAGCAGAGAUAGCUGUAUAUCAAACAAACAGCAAAGGAAUACUGUUGGCUAAUUAAUGAUUCAUUAAUGAAUGUCUAAAGGAUCAUCUAAUGUAGGAUACUUUUAGCUGGAGGGCUGAGAGGAAUCUACAUUUGUUUUUGAUGAAGGAACUACUGGGUAUUUCAAAGUGGUAUCUGCAAUGAGAUUUUGCCAGAUUUGAGUAUGGCUGGACUAGAUGAUCUCAGUGGUCUUUUCCAACCUUAAUGAUAUUAUCAUUCAAAUAAAUGCUUAAAUUUUGCUUCCACUUUGCCCAUGUUGUAGACCCUAAUUUCAGCCAUGCCAUCUUUCUUCAUGUACUGUUGUAACUGAGGAACCCUGUGCUUCAUUGCAAUUCUGGCACAGCUUGUCUUCCAGAGAUCAGGGAAUGAAGAAACUUUGAAUUUCAACUUCAUUUUGGCCACACCCAGAAGAAAAAUGAGAUGACUCAAGGAGGCUUGGAGGCUCUGCUCACGAACGUUUGCCCCAAGGGUGCAACCAAGCUGCUCCUCUGCCACAGGUAGGAUGAGAGCCAGGUGACUGAACCAACGCUAACUCAGUCUCUUCUUCAGUCAACUGGGGAAAUAAUAGUAGUUAACAUGUAAAUAGGGCCUGUUUUCACAGUGCUGCAGCAGCUGCACGUCCCCAUUGUAGCACAGCUGAUGCUUGGGCCUACCGAGCUCUUGAGCGGAUUUGUGCCCAGAGAAAGCAUCCCCAUGUCACUGUGGUGAUAGCCAUUGUGGAGGUGUGGUGAGACACAGCUCCAAGGACCUUCCACAGUCAGCAGUUUCUGUCCCUCUCAGUCCCAAUCUUGAUGCCAUUGGCAUGCUCCUAACCUGAGGACAGAGGCAAGACUAUCUCCCCAGUGAUGGGCAGCUGCUCCAGAAACUAAGCAAGAACAAUGGUGAGAGGGACACAACUGCACACAGCCAGUCCAGGAGCAGAGCUGUAAUCUUGGCUAUCAUCAGCUGUUAAAUACCUCUACGUGCAGAGGUAUUUCCUCCUUUGUGAAGUCCGCAGUCCCAAAGAACAAUGAAGAAAUCUGGAUACAUCUUCUGGCCACCUCCACCAUAAGCUCUGAACUCAGAUUUUGCCUGAAUGGUGAAGGGACAGCGGGCUUAGGGACUUCUGGUGAGCCCCAUGCAUAGUUCUUGGGCAGAUUUGGGGAAGAAAUAAAAGAAAAUGACUUUGCGUU